CUUGCUGUUCUGGCUUCUGGGAUUCAGAAUAUUUUUUUUCUUGUUUUCCUCCUCCAAAAACUAGGUGCGUCUUAUGGUCUGGUGUGCCUUAUAGGGCGAAAAAUACGGUAGCCUGAAGCAUCCGUAAGAUGAGGUAUGACUGUACUCAGGUCAGCAAAAACACUGCGUUCCAGGGACCUUGGUGGGGGCUUCCUGUUUGAUGCCCCCCUGCGAGGGGCCAGAGUUUCUCCUUGAAGUGAGCAUGUUGCGCCAUGGCUGAGCAUGCGGAAAGAGUCGCAUUGGUUAGCCGCCAAGGGUGGCAUCACGAGAGAAGGGAAGGGUAUGCUGGCUUCUAAGGGGACCAUUGGGAUUGCACAGGCGUCGCGUUUGGGAAGACGUUGGCCUGCGCUAAGACAAUUCUGUACCAAACCAUUUCACCUGCCUUACUGUGUUGUGACGAUCUGCUCUAUUCCUCCGAAGAAUGCGUUGGCUCCAUUCCGGUUCGUUAGAGUGGCGUCGGUGAAUGUACGCGAUACGCACAGAUAAUAUCCCUGCGGUUUAUUUCUACACUGUGUUUGUUUUAAUGCCCACACUUGCCUUUAAGAAAAAGAAUGUGCUUCUUCUAUCUAAUAAAACCAAACAU